UUCUUCUCCGCCCCUCGGCUUUUUGCUUCCGGGAGCAGUUGCCAAGGUUGCGUGACCUACGUCUUACGUCAAGACGCACCGGGAAAAAGGCGGUGAGAAAAUGCUGAGGGGAGGGGCCUCGACUCAGGAGGUGUGGUCGGGGUGCACCGCUCCCUGAGCUCCUGCAAUGACGUCGUCUAGGGCAUGUUUAAUGGAAGCUCCACGGUGGAAAAGGUAUUAAUGGCAGGUGAUCCAGAAGCUUUGUGGACCAAUGGCUUAAUUGAAGGCAGUAGCAGAAGAGUUGAGAGAGGACAGAUAUGGGAGAGGACCAGGUGACUGACUGAAUGAAAGGGGAGAAGUAUCCAGUCUGUGGCCUGGAGAUUACAAAGCCGUAAUCAGAAAUACUGGUCAACUGAUCUGUGUAUUUUGUGAUGACAAAGUACAGCAGCCACCAAGAGAAAACACAUGGCCAUAUUGAAAAGAGAGAGGAAAAGUAGAUUUUCUGAAGAGCCAGUGAAAAGGAAGUUUCAGGUCUGUUUGAACUCCCUUUGUUCACCCACAUGUAAAAUUUCAUACAAUGCACAUUGGCAGGGAAUGCUAAUACCUGUUUGAUUUGGGGGCACUUCUGAGUGAACAAUCAUGGUUAUUAAAGAGAAUCAAUAGUG